rnacentral:rRNA from 1 species
UGGGUAACCUGCCUCAAAGAGGGGAAUAGCCUCCCGAAAGGGAGAUUAAUACCGCAUAAUAUGUUUAGGUCGCAUGACUUUAACAUCAAAGGAUUUUCUUUUAGAAAUUCCACUUUGAGAUGGACCCGCGGCGCAUUAGCUAGUUGGUGAGGUAACGGCUCACCAAGGCAACGAUGCGUAGCCGACCUGAGAGGGUGAUCGGCCACAUUGGAACCGAGACACGGUCCAGACUCCGUACGGGAGCAG